rnacentral:misc_RNA from 1 species
GAACUUGACAUGAUUGUGCUUGUACGUCUCUAAGCAUACCCAGAAAUACAGGUAUCAAGGAUGACAUAUUAUUGAAAGCGAUAAGAGGACAAGAAGUGGUAAUAAGGAAUCAAAGUUAGACCACUCUAAAAAUUACAAGGACAUGGAACAGUAUGCAAUAAGUCUGUACUUAGACCACUACUUCAAGAGGACGAAAAUCAUAAGAAAAGGUCCAAAUAUAAACACUAGUUCAGUAGAAAGAAAAAGCUUAUUGUUAGCUUGGGGCCUAGUUUAAGUGGUUAUGUAUAUAUAUGUAACAUCCAUGAAGCAGUGGCAGUUGUUGAUCUUACUUUAACCACAACUGCCUUGCAAAAUACUUGUCCUGCCAACAUCACCUAGCUUACUGGACAAGAAGGGGUCAAAGCAUGUUUAAGGCAUCAAUGAAUGCUUAUUCCAGGAUAGAAUACCUGAAGCAUGUUAGAUGGGUCAGGACAUAUUGCCAUAGCCUAUGAAGGCAGCACAAGAGACCUUGCUUCAAUGUAACUGGAAUUACUCUCAAGCUUAGUUUUCCAGACAAUACUUUAGUUUCAUAAGUACAUCUGUCUCCAACUCCUUAAAUUGAUAUAAUGGAGAAGGAAUAUGUGUGCCCAAGUCUACCAAAAUCUAAAUGUCCUUUAUAUUAUCAAGUCAUAUAGUAGGACUAGACAAUAAUUCAUUCAUUCAAACCUAUAGAUAAUAUCUCAUCACCAUCAAGCAUGGUAAAUAAAUUUUAGAAGAUAUAUGUUAGACAAUAGCGCAAUUUAAAACUUGAAACUGCUCAAAAUAUUUAGUAAAUAAUCAAAACCACCCAAGCUGUGCUCUCAAAACAUUCAAUCUCAAAACAGAAACUUAAUGGAAAACAAGUUAAUCAUCAUCUAACACAAUAAGAAAAAUGCAAAGAAGGACCAUCCUACAUCAGCAACAUAUGGCACAGCAAAAUCAAAACAAAAUUGUUUGGAAAUCUACAAACUGAAAAAACUGAGGAUGUUGAAGAGAGGAAAAGUUAUCAGGUCUUGUGCCAAAGAAGAUUUAAAGUGCAACAGAUUCACUAAAUAGGUCAAAGGGUAAUGGAGUUAAAGCCUAGAACCAAGCAUGAAAUCCACUGAUGCAAUUACAAACAAAAGCAUUGUUGACAAGUAAGCAGAGAAUGAAAAUUUGUUAUACAUCCAUAAAAAAUGAAAAAAAA